rnacentral:rRNA from 1 species
GAUGAACGCUGGCGGCGUGCCUAAUACAUGCCAGUCGAGCGAACGGACGAGAAGCUUGCUUCUCUGAUGUUAGCGGCGGACGGGUGAGUAACACGUGGAUAACCUACCUAUAAGACUGGGAUAACUUCGGGAAACCGGAGCUAAUACCGGAUAAUAUUUUGAACCGCAUGGUUCAAAAGUGAAAGACGGUCUUGCUGUCACUUAUAGAUGGAUCCGCGCUGCAUUAGCUAGUUGGUAAAGUAACGGCUUGCCAAGGCAACGAUGCAUAGCCGACCUGAGAGGGUGAUCGGCCACACUGGAACUGAGACACGGUCCAGACUCCUACGGGAGGCAGCAGUAGGGAAUCUUCCGCAAUGGGCGAAAGCCUGACGGAGCAACGCCGCGUGAGUGAUGAAGGUCUUCGGAUCGUAAAACUCUGUUAUUAGGGAAGAACAUAUGUGUAAGUAACUGUGCACAUCUUGACGGUACCUAAUCAGAAAGCCACGGCUAACUACGUG